GGCGGCCGUAACAAUAACGGUCCUAAGGUAGCGAAAUUCCUUGUCGGGUAAGUUCCGACCUGCACGAAUGGCGUAACGAUGGCGGCGCUGUCUCCACCCGAGACUCAGUGAAAUUGAAAUCGCUGUGAAGAUGCAGUGUAUCCGCGGCUAGACGGAAAGACCCCGUGAACCUUUACUAUAGCUUUGCACUGGACUUUGAAUUUGCUUGUGUAGGAUAGGUGGGAGGCUUUGAAGCGUGGACGCCAGUUCGCGUGGAGCCAACCUUGAAAUACCACCCUGGUAAUUUCGGAGUUCUAACCUCGAUCGGUAUAUCCCGGUCAGGGACAAUGUAUGGUGGGUAGUUUGACUGGGGCGGUCUCCUCCCAAAGAGUAACGGAGGAGUGCGAAGGUAACCUCAGCGCGGUCGGAAAUCGCGCAGUGAGUGCAUAGGCAUAAGGUUGCUUGACUGCAAGACAAACAAGUCGAGCAGGUACGAAAGUAGGUCUAAGUGAUCCGGUGGUUCUGUAUGGAAGGGCCAUCGCUCAACGGAUAAAAGGUACUCUGGGGAUAACAGGCUGAUACUGCCCAAGAGUCCAUAUCGACGGCAGUGUUUGGCACCUCGAUGUCGGCUCAUCGCAUCCUGGGGCUGUAGCAGGUCCCAAGGGUUUGGCUGUUCGCCAAUUAAAGCGGUACGCGAGCUGGGUUCAGAACGUCGUGAGACAGUUCGGUCCCUAUCUGCCGUGGGCGUUUGAUAUUUGAGAGGAGUUGACCUUAGUACGAGAGGACCGGGUUGAACGUAUCUCUGGUGUUCCGGUUGUCACGCCAGUGGCAUCGCCGGGUAGCUAAAUACGGACGGGAUAACCGCUGAAAGCAU
rnacentral:rRNA from 1 species